rnacentral:rRNA from 1 species
CACGUAGGGCGCAAGCGUUGUCCGGAAUUAUUGGGCGUAAAGAGCUCGUAGGCGGUCUGUUGCGUCCGCUGUGAAAACUCGGGGCUUAACCCCGAGCCUGCAGUGGAUACGGGCAGACUAGAGGUAGGUAGGGGAGAAUGGAAUUCCCGGUGUAGCGGUGAAAUGCGCAGAUAUCGGGAGGAACACCGGUGGCGAAGGCGGUUCUCUGGGCCUUACCUGACGCUGAGGAGCGAAAGCGUGGGGAGCGAACAGGAUUGA